rnacentral:rRNA from 1 species
GUAGGUGGCAAGCGUUGUCCGGAAUUAUUGGGCGUAAAGCGCGCGCAGGCGGUUCUUUAAGUCUGAUGUGAAAGCCCACGGCUCAACCGUGGAGGGUCAUUGGAAACUGGAGAACUUGAGUACAGAAGAGGAAAGCGGAAUUCCACGUGUAGCGGUGAAAUGCGUAGAGAUGUGGAGGAACACCAGCGGCGAAGGCGGCUUUCUGGUCUGUAACUGACGCUGAGGCGCGAAAGCGUGGGGAGCAAACAGGAUUAGAUACCCUGGUAGUCCACGCCGUAAACGAUGAGUGCUAAGUGUUAGGGGGUUUCCGCCCCCCUUAGUGCUGCAGCUAACGCAUUAAGCACUCCGCCUGGGAGUACGGCCGCAAGGCUG